CGUUACCGACACAUUUUUGUUGACUCUGUACACACAGAUAGGAAGAUAAAAUUACAACGCUAUCCUCCUUCUUUCUUAUAAUUAAAUUGAUUUUGGAUUUACUUAAAACAAAGAUUUGAGCUUUUCCCUCAAUUCACCUCCGAUAAUAGCAACUUAGGAACCUAGAAAACAGAGCUCCGCCGGGAAUGAAAAAUUGUGGUGGUGCUCCUUCUCCGUCGAAGAAAAAAAAUCUGAGAUUCAUCUCCAAUGAGCAGGUGCUUCAGAUCUCUAACGACGAUGCACUUCUUCUCCAGACCCUCGGUUCGGUGCUUCAUUCGGAGUCUGACCCUCUGAUUCGAGCUAGACCAGAGGAAGUAGAUUCCGUCGGAGUUGACUGCAAGCUUUUGGAGGAUUUGUAAUGGAUGAGAAAGCAAGUCAAGUGGAUAACGUCUUUUUAAAGUUACACAAGAGGUUUUUUUUUUUUUUGGCUCAAAUUAAAUUGUAAAUCAGUUUCUGAUUUGGUCUUUACACUUGUCUACCUUUCUAGGUUGAGCAAGCUAACCAUUUAAUUGACUCACGGUGACCAAUAACGUUGUGUUCCAGAUAAACUGCAUUGCUCUAUCAUGAUUCCUCUUGAAUCUGUUAUUUGUAAAUGUGAUCACUUCCAAGUGCCAGUGACGACGUUGAGAAGACAAUUGACUGAGAAAAGACAGCUCCUAAACAAGUUGAGAUCCCGUUGUUGUUCCUCUUAACCGACAAUGGUGGAAGAGAUUUUUUCUCCAUUGAUGGCAGAGGAAUGAAGAAAUUAGUGACAGCAUUUGGACCACGGAUCUGAAGUGGCCGUAUAGCGAAAGAUAUGACGUUUGGAACUUGAUGAUGGCAGCGGAGAUGAUGGUGGAGUAACUGCGGAAAUGGGAAUAGUUGUAAUUGAGGCAAAGGAAAUGAUGGAGAGGAUGAAGCUGAGGAAAAUAGUAUGUUUCUUGUUUCUUGUUACAGUUUUGACCAUUGAGGCAAGAACUCACAAAGAUCUUGUUUCUUGCAAGAUUCUUUGUUAUUUAUUAUUUUACAUUGAUUAAAACUGUGAUUUUUAUACUUGCAUACACCUCAAGGUGCAAAUUGGUUUUCCAUAUCUCCAACGUUUAGAGACGAAAAAUUGUUCUUCUUCUGUGUGUUGCUGGGGAAUCUGUUGAGAGAAGGGGAUAUCGUUUAUGAUGUGUACAUGUGGAUACCGUGUAUGAGGUGUACACGUGAUUCAGUGUACAUGUGGAUGGCAAUAUCGAUGUACAAGUCGAUUAUGAAGAAUACAUUUUCAUGUUGACGGUUUUUUUUUUUGUUUGACUGUUCUUUGUUGUACAUAUGAAACCAAUUUUGAAUGCAAGCGA